AAUCCAUGAUUAGUACAUUUGUGAAGUAAUCCUUUAUAUUGGUCCCAAAACUCAUACAUAGACUCGUCAUCAGCUUGACAGAAAGAUGAUAUCUCAUUUCUGAGUUG